GCCAGUGUAGCAUAGUGGUAACGAGCAGGGCUCCUAAUUCAAAGGUUGCUGGUUCGAUUCCCUGCUCGGGCA